AGCAGGUACUUUGUUGUUAUUGACGAUGUGGACCGUCUAGAAGUGUGGCAGGCUAUAAAACGUGAAUUCCCUAAAGAAGGCCACGGCAGCAGAAUAAUUGUGACCACAAGCAUGCACUCUGUUGCGGCUGAAUGCAGCUGGGGCAGUCAUGUGUAUACAAUGCAAUGUUUGGACAAAGAUGAGUCAGAAAAAGUAUUCUGGGAAUCGGUUGGUAAAGAGAAUCAGACACCUGCCCUAGAGCGGGCUUCAGAAGGCAUCAUCACGAAAUGUGGAGGCUUACCUCUGGCGCUUAUCAGCGUAGCCAAUUAUUUGCGUCGACGAGGACGAACCGAGAGUCAAGUGGCAGGAGGACUCACAACAGAGCACUGCAAAAGUGCUGCCUGCACGCUCGGAGACAAGAUACUAAAAGGACAGGAUUCCGAGUUCUUGAAAAUCAAUAGAGCGCUUCUCCAGUGCUACAACAACCUUCCAGACUAUGCCCACCAGAGCUGCUUGCUUUAUGCCAGCGUGUUCCCCAGAGGCCGCCCAAUUAACAGCAAAGUUCUGCUUAGAAGAUGGAUGAGUGAAGAGUUUGCUGCACAUGGCACUGUCAGUGAUGAAGAAGGUGUCAGAAGUUGUUUACAGGCCUUCAUUGAGCGGUGUAUCGUUGAACCAGUAGAGAUAAAAAAUGCUAGGGUAGCCAGGUGCAGGGUUCACAGCAUAAUGCUCGAGUUCAUCAUCCACAAGGCCGUCUCAAAGAAAUUUGUUGCUCUGGUUGACAAGGAUGAGCUCCUGUCCAACAAUGGUACUAUCACCAAUGUUCGUGUCCGCGGACUCUCUGUUCAGGAUAGCACCAAGGAAGGAAUUGAUGAUGCUGUGUGUACUGCGAGGGGUAUUGACUUAUCUGUUAUUAGGUCACUAACAAUCUUCGGAAGCCCUCUUCUUGACCUCCGAGCCUGCGAGUUACUGCGAGUUCUAGAUCUUGAAGGUUGCAAAGGGGUAAACAAUGAUACUGUUCUUGAAGACAUAUGCAAGCAGCGGCUUCUCAAGUAUCUCAGCCUGAGGGGCACUGAUGUUGACCAUCUUCACCAAAAAAUAAAGCACCUAGUGCAUUUGGAAACACUGGAUAUUCGAGAGACAUCGGUGGAAGUCGUGGCCAUUGAGGUCAUCAGGCUACCACUGUUAGCUCACCUGUUUGGCCGUUUUGAGCUACCCCAUGGAAUCACCGAAGAAAUAUCAAAGCAAAGCAAAUUGCAGACUCUUGCUGGAGUCGUGGUUACUGAGGCAGACAAAAGUUUUGAAAACAUUAUACUUCAUGCCCGAAAACUGAGGAAGGUUAAGAUCUAUCAAGCAACAUCAUAUUCCUCCAACAGCUGCAAUAGACAGAUGAAUCCAGGUAGCAUUUCGCCCUUGCCGCUUAACGAGCGCUUCACCGGUAGCACAGCUCUCCAGAUUCUAUCAAUUGAUUCAAGUGACUUGUCUCAAGAGUUGAUAAGUUUCCUAAAGGCUCCCUGUGCAAUUACAUCUAUCAAACUACGGGGCCAGCUGGACAUAUUACCUGCUACUCCUACCUUAACGGAGCUGUCCGAUCUAAAUAGGCUACUACUUAUCUCAACUGGUUUGAGCAUUGAAGACUUAUCUGCACUGCAAAACUUACCUUGCUUGGAAUAUCUCAAGCUAGCAGAAGAAGAUGGGGAUGGGUUUCGGGGCAGCAGCUUCGUUGUGAAGAGUGGUGGAUUCCCAAGCCUGAGGCGACUGUGCUUCGAAGCCCCAAGGCUCCCACAAGUGCAAAUCGAACAAGGAUCCAUGAAGUCUCUCACCAUACUUGACCUACUUUGCCCAGAUCCAGUUAUUCGAGAGCCUCGUUUGGGAAGACAUCUCUGUAGUUUCAUUCAGCUGGAAACCAGGCUUGGUGUGGAAGGCGUAUCGUAUCUUGAGAAUCUCAAGGAGGUGAUCCUCCAUCACUCUAUGAGCGAGUCAAAAGUGCAAGCUUGGAAAGAGGAAGCGAUUGGGCACAACAACAAGCCAUCUGUGAAGAGGCAACCACAACCAACCAUCCAUGCGGCACGCCAUGAGAUGCAAGCAAGGAUCGACAAGAGGAAGAACCCGGACGGCGGAAAGGGCGAGAAAGAUGACAAGCUGAAGAAGAAGAAGUGA
rnacentral:rRNA from 1 species